rnacentral:rRNA from 1 species
GAUGAACGCUAGCUACAGGCUUAACACAUGCAAGUCGAGGGACCGGCGCGCGGGUGAGUAACACGUAUCCAACCUGCCUUUUACUCGGUGAUAGCCUUUCGCAAGAAAGAUUAAUACCCGAUGUCAAGGAUGGGGAUGCGUUCCAUUAGGUUGUUGGUGAGGUAAAGGAUAACCAAGCCUUCGAUGGAUAGGGGUUCGGAGAGGAAGGGCCCCCAAAUUGGAACUGAGAAACGGUCCAAAAUCCUACGGGAGGAAGAAGUGAGGAAGAUUGGUCAAUGGGCGUGAGCCGGAACCAGCCAAGUAGCGUGAAGGAUGAAGGGUUAUGGGUCGUAAACUUCUUUUAUAUAAGAAUAUGUAUUAUAUGAAUAAGGAUCGGCUAACUCCGUGCCAGCAGCCGCGGUAAUAC